rnacentral:rRNA from 1 species
UACGGGGGGGGCAAGCGUUGUUCGGAAUUACUGGGCGUAAAGGGCUCGUAGGUGGCCAACUAAGUCAGACGUGAAAUCCCUCAGCUUAACUGGGGAACUGCGUCUGAUACUGGAUGGCUUGAGUUUGGGAGAGGGAUGCGGAAUUCCAGGUGUAGCGGUGGAAUGCGUAGAGAUCCGGAAGAACACCGGUGGCGAAGGCGGCCUGCUGGGCAGUUUUGCUGACACUGAGGCGCGACAGCGUGGGGAGCAAACAGG